ensembl:lncRNA
GUCCUACAGCAAAGCAACCUCCUUGAAACGUGUGACUUGAUUAUCCCAUGAGUCCACCGGGCUUCUCAAACUUGACAUGUCCACACAGCACUUCUGACCUUCUGUCCCUACAAACCAACUCCUGUCACAGGCUUGCCUCAUCUCAAUACACAUCCACUCCAUUCAUCUAGUUCUCGGGACUCAUCCUAAAUACAUGACCAUCAUAGCGGAGAGUGGAAGGAGAGGGCAGGUGUUGCAAGUGUGACUGGUCACCAGGAAGUCUUCGCUGAAUGAAUGCUCCUGCCGCCGUGUUCUUCACAUCAGGAAACUAAGUCAGAGCAGAGCUGUCCCCAAGGGAGGUGCUGAAGCACAGUGACUCGCCAAGCUUCAGGGAAGGCCAGACGUGGGUCUCAUCCUCAGCUGGGAGGGGCCCCCGACGUCAUCUAAUACAGCCCCGUUUUCUCAGGGUCGAGAACCGGGGCCCACAGGAGGUUUACCUGAGGUCACCCCAGAGGCAGGACUGGAACCCAGCUCCCCUAGGACCAAAAACAGAAUUUUCUCCAUGGCUCACCCACUGGCAUCCUGGUCUGAAAGGAGUGGAGGGGAAGACAGAGGCUGGAACGCAGGGGUGUGGCCCCCGAGACAUAUAGCCUCUUUCUGAGGUCACUCGAUCAAGGCCUUUCCUCCUGCUUAAACCAAUAUCUCUGGCAGGCCCCCCUUGGGAAUGCCAUUUCGUGUUGGCAAAAGCUGCCAAUCCAGAUGCUUCUUCUAGCUUCCUGUGACAUUCGAGGAAACUGGAGCUGUGUAUGUCAAACAGAAGAAAGUGAUUCAGAGAAAGAAACACAGACACCAGAGGUGAACGGGAUGAGAGCACGGUUCACAAAGAAGCACUAACUGUGGGCCUUCCAUCUGCCAGUCUGUCCAAGAUUACGUACCCUGAGGGCUACAGUCUGAAAUGUUCUGGUCUGUUUCCACUUAUCCAGUCCCACUAGGAGACAGACUUCCUCUGGAGUCUUGCCUGUGAACAGCAUCAGCCCCAGGUAUAGAGAGCCGCAAGGCAAACUUUGCAUAAGGUUCCAUGGGUAUUUGUUGAAUAAAUUCAUAACAAUGGGAAGUCAUUUAAAGGUUCUAAACACAGAGGUGACAGUAUCAUGUUUGUCUUUCAGAAAGAUCAAGAGAGUGACAUGUACAAGCAAUGUUUGGGCUGAGUCAAGGAUGGUACAGGAGGGGCUGGAAAAUGGAGCAUGUGAAGAACAUUCCAAGCCAAGAAGGAGUAUGAGGGUCCGAUGAGGGGAAUAAGCAAGAUGCAGAUCAACUUCAUUUAUUCAUUCAUCCACUCACUCAACCCAUAUUCUCUUCCCUUGGAAGUGGUAGUGAGGGUAGGAGAAGGUGCAAAUGAUAAAAACUCAAUAGAUAAUGCCAUGCCAAACCCUUUUGUCCACAUUAUGGCUUCUCCAAGACUGCCUGGGGAGUCGAUGUGAAACCUGGGUUGCAUUCUUCCUGCGCCCAGCACAGCUGUGCUUCACCAACCACUCCUGGAGAGAAGGACCCAAAAGCAGAAACAUAACGGGUCCAGUAACCCCUGAACUGGACAGACAGACAGCAAUAAUGGAGGGC